GACCCGUAAUCCGGGUUGCGGACAGUGUCUGGUGGGUAGUUUGACUGGGGCGGUCUCCUCCUAAAGAGUAACGGAGGAGCACGAAGGUUGGCUAAUCCUGGUCGGACAUCAGGAGGUUAGUGCAAUGGCAUAAGCCAGCUUGACUGCGAGCGUGACGGCGCGAGCAGGUGCGAAAGCAGGUCAUAGUGAUCCGGUGGUUCUGAAUGGAAGGGCCAUCGCUCAACGGAUAAAAGGUACUCCGGGGAUAACAGGCUGAUACCGCCCAAGAGUUCAUAUCGACGGCGGUGUUUGGCACCUCGAUGUCGGCUCAUCACAUCCUGGGGCUGAAGUAGGUCCCAAGGGUAUGGCUGUUCGCCAUUUAAAGUGGUACGCGAGCUGGGUUUAGAACGUCGUGAGACAGUUCGGUCCCUAUCUGCCGUGGGCGCUGGAGAAUUGAGGGGGGCUGCUCCUAGUACGAGAGGACCGGAGUGGACGCAUCACUGGUGUUCGGGUUGUCAUGCCAAUGGCACUGCCCGGUAGCUAAAUGCGGA
rnacentral:rRNA from 1 species